GGGUGCGAUCAUACCAGCACUAAUGCACCGGAUCCCAUCAGAACUCCGAAGUUAAACGUGCUUGGGCGAGAGUAGUACUAAGAUGGGUGACCUCUUGGGAAGUUCUCGUGUUGCACUCC
rnacentral:rRNA from 1 species